CUAAAGUUUCAAGUUUAUUAAUUUCAACCCCUAAAGUUUGGAAUUAAUUAAUUUUGCCCCCCUUAAAGUUUUGAAUUAUUAAUCCUAAGGCCCCUAAAGUUUAAAACUAAUCAAAAUAUGCAAAAUUGGUGAUUCUCCUUCUCAAAUUUUGGUACUAAAGACUCUUUUAAGAAAUAUAAUAUUCGAAAGUUAGUUAAUUGAAGCAACAUGUU
rnacentral:lncRNA from 1 species